rnacentral:rRNA from 1 species
UUUGAACGCUGGCGGAAUGCUUUACACAUGCAAGUCGAACGGCAGCACGGGGGCAACCCCGGUGGCGAGUGGCGAACGGGUGAGUAAUGUAUCGGAACGUGCCCAGUCGUGGGGGAUAACGUAGUGAAAAUUACGCUAAUACCGCAUACGAUCUAUGGAUGAAAGCGGGGGAUCGCAAGACCUCGCGCGAUUGGAGCGGCCGAUAUCAGAUUAGGUAGUUGGUGGGGUAAAGGCUCACCAAGCCGACGAUCUGUAGCUGGUCUGAGAGGACGAGCAGCCACACUGGAACUGAGACACGGUCCAGACUCCUACGGGAGGCAGCAGUGGGGAAUUUUGGACAAUGGGCGCAAGCCUGAUCCAGCCAUUCCGCGUGCAGGAUGAAGGCCCUCGGGUUGUAAACUGCUUUUGUACGGAACGAAACGGCGAGCUCUAAUACAGUUUGCUAAUGACGGUACCGUAAGAAUAAGCACCGGCUAACUACGUGCCAGCCGCCGCCGUAA